UUCGUAGUUUUUGACUUUGUCCUAAUCUGUUCCUAGGUCUACCAAAACAAGACUCUGGACAUUGGUGGUCCAGCUUCUUCUUUGGGAAGCAGAACCAGCCAGGAAUGACCACUCUGACUGAGGAGGCCCAGCAGAAGGCGACGGCCAUGACUUUGACCAACGGCCAGGUGACCUGCGUUGCCAGGGAGAUGGUGAUGAAGAGGCAGGUUAGCGACSCCGUGAGGUCCGAGCCGGCGAGUCCACCCCCCUCCUGAGGCAAGAAGGGAUCAACGCUAGGAGACGGGAGGCUGCUUCCCCCCUCUGUCCCCUAAACCCUUUAGAUUUUCUUCCAUCCUCCACACAUAGAAAGUAUGAAGCAAAGUAUCAGGUAUACAAUGUAGUAUUCUAGCGUAGGUAUUGGAACAGAACCCCCUCUUCCCUUUAACCCUAAACUAUGAAUGCAUCCUAUUCCCUAUUUAGUGCACUACUUUCGACCCAAGACCCAUUGGGUUAUGGUCAAAAGUAGUUCAUUAUAUUGGGUGCUGUUUAGGAUGUAGAAAUGUUCCCAACAUCCACGUUAGCAAACUACAUAGAAUGAAUGUCUGUCACUUUGCUUCACGCUAAGCAUUAUGGGUAUUGGAACAAUUAUUUGUUUGUCUUAGGACAGGCUGCCAAUUAACUUUUAUAUUUUUUUUGUAUCCUGUUUUCUAUGACUAAAAAUAAAAUGAGAACAAACUAUA